GACGAACGCUGGCGGCGUGCUUAACACAUGCAAGUCGAACGAAGUGGCGAACGGGUGAGUAACGCGUAAUCAACCUGCCCUUCAGAGGGGGACAACAGUUGGAAACGACUGCUAAUACCGCAUAAUGAAGGUGGGGAUUGCGUGUGAUUAGCUAGUUGGGGGGGUAACGGCCUACAAGGGCGACGAUCAGUAACGGGUCGGAGAGGAUGAUCAGCAACACUGGGACUGAGACACGGUCCAGACUCCUACGGGAGGCAGCAGUGGGGAAUUUUGGACAAUGGGCGCAAGCCUGAUCCAGCCAUGCCGCGUGUGUGAAGAAGGCCUUCGGGUUGUAAAGGACUUUUGUCAGGGAAGCGGUACCUGAAGAAUAAGCACCGGCUAACUACGUGCCAGCAGCCGCGGUAAUAC
rnacentral:rRNA from 1 species